CAAUGCAGUCAACCUGGAACCUUCUUAAUGUAUAAGAUUUGCUCAAGAAAAAACAGUCUUGAGCACAAGGAGAUAAAAUUCCUCACCAAGGGCUUGCUGCAGCAGCUUUUGUCUGAGAGAAGCAGGGUGGGCAGAACACAUAUCACGGUUAGUGAAUCAAUGUGAUGGGCAGUUUUAGAUGGCAGCUUUCUGGCCAUGUUCCUCAGUUAUUUGGCCAAAUACUGCCCAAGCAUUGCUGGGAAGAUCUUUUGUAGAUGUGAUUGCAGUGCAUCAUCAGUGGACUAUAAGGGAGAUUGCCAUAGAUAAUCUUGAGGAGCCUGAAUCCAUCAGCUAGAAGGCCUUAAGACUAGAACUAGAAAUUCUGCCUGAAGACAGAGGGCUAGUCUGGGCUGGAGAGCUCCAGCUGGCCUUUCUGGUGACCUCUUGUCCCUUGGAUUUCCUGCUUGUCUGGUGAACACACAUCAGGUAAACCAGUUCUUUGCAACGACUUUCUUGGUGUGUCUAUUCCAGUAAUGGGCAUCGAUGUUGGAUGAGAACUCUUGUAUUUUUGGAAACUCCCUGAUUGAGUCAGUUACCUCUUCAAACGAAUGCCUUGCAUAUCAGUAGUUGUGCUGUCAGUGUGUGUGGGUGUGUGUGUGUGUGUGUGUGUGUGUG